GAACCCCGGGAGGGGAGUGAAAUAGAACCUGAAACCGUGUGCCUACAACCGCUCAGAGCCCCUUAUGAGGGUGAUGAGGUGCUUUUUGUAGAACGAGCCAACGAGUUACGGUAUGUAGCAAGGUUAAGUACUUAAGGUACGGAGCCGAAGGGAAACCGAGUCUGAAUAGGGCGACUAGUUGCAUGCCGUAGACCCGAAACCGGGUGACCUAUCCAUGGCCAGGUUGAAGCGAGGGUAAAACCUCGUGGAGGACCGAACCACGUUGCUGUUGAAAAAGCAUGGGAUGAGCUGUGGAUAGCGGAGAAAUUCCAAUCGAACCCGGAGAUAGCUGGUUCUCUCCGAAAUAGCUUUAGGGCUAGCGUCGAGUAUGAGUAGUGGAGGUAGAGCACUGAAUGGGCUAGGGGGCAUAGCGCUUACCGAACCUUAUCAAACUCCGAAUGCCACAUACUUUGAGCUCGGCAGUCAGACUACGAAUGAUAAGAUCCGUGGUCAAAAGGGAAACAGCCCAGAUCGUCAGCUAAGGUCCCAAAGUGUAAGUUAAGUGGGAAAGGAUGUGAGAUUUCUAAGACAACUAGGAUGUUGGCUUAGAAGCAGCCAUUCAUUAAAAGAGUGCGUAAUAGCUCACUAGUCGAGAGAUCUUGCGCCGAAAAUGUAACGGGGCUAAACUUACCACCGAAGCUACGGGCUUGAACUUAGUUCAAGCGGUAGGAGAGCGUCGUAACCGGGCUGAAGUCGUACCGUAAGGAGCGGUGGACUGGUUACGAGUGAGAAUGUUGGCAUCAGUAGCGAGAUGUGGGUGAGAAUCCCACAGGCCGAAAACCUAAGGUUUCCUCAGGAAGGUUCGUCCGCUGAGGGUUAGUCGGGACCUAAGCCGAGGCCGAAAGGCGUAGGUGAUGGACAACUGGUUGAUAUUCCAGUACCACUACCAUCGUUAUUAUCG
rnacentral:rRNA from 1 species